UGAGUACGAGAUGCUACGGCAUCGAAGCAGUCUAUGUCAUACUUCCAAGAAAAGCUUGCAAUGUCAUAAACAAAUAAUGCCUGUACCAUAACCGACACAGGUGGGUAGGUAGAGUAUACUAAGGGGCGCGAGAUAACUCUCUCUAAGGAACUCGGCAAAAUGACUCCGUAACUUCGGGAGAAGGAGUGCCUUAUUUUUAUAAGGUUGCAAUAACAAGAUCCAAGCAACUGUUUACCAAAAACACAGGUCUCCGCUAAGUCGUAAGACGAUGUAUGGGGGCUGACGCCUGCCCAGUGCCAGAAGGUUAAAGAAGUUGGUUAGCAUUAGCGAAGCUGAUAACUGAAGCCCUGGUGAACAGCGGCCGUAACUAUAACGGUCCUAAGGUAGCGAAAUUCCUUGUCGGGUAAGUUCCGACCCGCACGAAAGGCGUAAUGAUUUGGAUACUGUCUCGGAGAGGGGCUCGGUGAAAUAGACUUGUCUGUGAAGAUGCGGACUACCUGCACCUGGACAGAAAGACCCUAUGAAGCUUUACUGUAACUUGAGAUUGAAAUUGGACUUUAUCUGCGCAGUAUAGGUGGGAGACGUUGAAAAUAUUCUUGCGGGAAUAUUGGAGUCAUCAGUGAGAUACCACUCUUAUAAUGUUAGAUUCCUAACUUUGUAUCAUUAUCUGGUCAAAGAACAGUUUCAGGCGGGCAGUUUGACUGGGGCGGUCGCCUCCCAAACGGUAACGGAGGCGCACAAAGGUUUCCUCUGAACGUGUAGAAAUCGUAUCUAGAGUGUUAAGGCAUAAGGAAGCUUGACUGUGAGACCUACAAGUCGAGCAGGGACGAAGGUCGGUCUUAGUGAUCUGACGGUGCUGAGUGGAAAGGCCGUCACUCAACGGAUAAAAGUUACUCUAGGAUAACAGGCUGAUCUCCCCCAAGAGUUCACAUCGACGGGGAGGUUUGGCACCUCGAUGUCGGCUCAUCGCAUCCUGGGGCGGUAGUACGUCCCAAGGGUUGGGCUGUUCGCCCAUGAAAGCGGUACGCGAGCUGGGUUCAGAACGUCGUGAGACAGUUCGGUCCAUAUCCGGUGUAGGCGUUAGAAUAUUGAGAGGAGCCUUCUUUAGUACGAGAGGACCGAGAAGGACAUACCUCUGGUGUGCCAGUUAUCGUGCCAACGGUAAACGCUGGGUAGCCAUGUAUGGAGAGGAUAACCGCUGAAAGCAUCUAAGUGGGAAGCCCACCUCAAGAUAAGUAUUC
rnacentral:rRNA from 1 species